rnacentral:rRNA from 1 species
GGCCUACGGGGGGCAGCAGUAGGGAAUCUUUCACAAUGGGCGAAAGCCUGAUGGAGCAACGCCGCGUGCAGAAAGAAGGCUUUCGGGUUGUAAACUUCUUUUGUCAGGGACGAAGCAAGUGACGGUACCUGACGAAUAAGCCACGGCUAACUACGUGCCAGCAGCCGCGGUAAUACGUAGGUGGCAAGCGUUAUCCGGAUUUAUUGGGUGUAAAGGGCGUGUAGGCGGGAAUGCAAGUCAGAUGUGAAAACUAUGGGCUCAACCCAUAGCCUGCAUUUGAAACUGUACUUCUU